rnacentral:rRNA from 2 species
UACCUACGGGAGGCUGCAGUGGGGAAUCUUGGACAAUGGGCGAAAGCCUGAUCCAGCCAUGCCGCGUGAGUGAAGAAGGCCUUAGGGUUGUAAAGCUCUUUCGGCGGGGACGAUAAUGACGGUACCCGCAGAAGAAGCCCCGGCUAACUCCGUGCCAGCAGCCGCGGUAAUACGGAGGGGGCUAGCGUUGUUCGGAAUUACUGGGCGUAAAGCGCACGUAGGCGGACUGUUAAGUCGGGGGUGAAAUCCUGGGGCUCAACCUCAGAAUUGCCCUCGAUACUGGCAGCCUUGAGUACGGGAGAGGUGAGUGGAAUUCCCAGUGUAGAGGUGAAAUUCGUAGAUAUUGGGAAGAACACCAGUGGCGAAGGCGGCUCACUGGCCCGUAACUGACGCUGAGGUGCGAAAGCGUGGGGAGCAAACAGGAUUAGAUACCCGUGUAGUCCG